rnacentral:rRNA from 1 species
AUAUGUAGGGGGCGAGCGUUGUCCGGAAUGAUUGGGCGUAAAGGGCGCGUAGGCGGCCGCUUAAGUCUGGAGUGAAAGUCCUGUUUUCAAGCUGGGAAUUGCUUUGGAUACUGGGGGCUUGAGUGCAGGAGAGGUUAUCGGAAUUCCCGGUGUAGCGGUGAAAUGCGUAGAGAUCGGGAGGAACACCAGUGGCGAAGGCGGGUAACUGGACUGCAACUGACGCUGAGGCGCGAAAGUGUGGGGAGCAAACAGGAUUAGAUACCCUGGUAGUCCACACUGUAAACGAUGAAUGCUAGGUGUAAGAGGUAUCGACCCCUUUUGUGCCGGAGUCAACACAAUAAGCAUUCCGCCUGGGGAGUACGGCCGCAAGGUUGAAACUCAAAGGAAUUGACGGGG